AACAUCUGUAACUUUCAGAUAAAAACUUAUAUUGGCUUAUCUAAUUUUUUUCAAGUAUUUCUUCGUAUGAUACAGUUAAAAACAACGUAUCUACUUUCAAGAUGAACUUUGGCUAAAUAUUAAAGUUCUCAAGACGCCAACACAAGUAGCAUAUCCGCUUCAAAAAAAUCACACUGAUUAAAAUCAUUUGCGAAAACCAUACCACGUACCUUCCAUAACAUUUUGAAGCCAAUGGAGAGAGAACCUUUAAGAACGACCAACCUCCAUUGUGGGCCAUUUUACUGAGAGAGGUUGCUUCAGAGAGGUUUCACUGUAAUCAAGAGAAGUCCCUAAGUGUGACAAAGAAGCGGAUGUUUUCUGAGCAGACAAUGCUCCAAUGAUGAAUACCGAUGCGUUGAUAAAAACGGAAAUGUCUUCGCCAUUCCUAAGACUGACGUUGCUUGCUAAUUUCAGGGAUUUUUAAAAUGUGAAUAAAA
rnacentral:lncRNA from 1 species